AUUAGAACUCAUUGCUGAGGACAUUUACAGCAGAUAUCAUUGCUGAAGAAAUCAGAGUAGGACAGCAAACUUGGUUUUCACCAAGCCAUGGAUAACAUCAAAGACAAAUUUGCUAAAAUUCUUCAUUAUCGUCUCAUCACCAGGAAGAUCAGAACCAAUUCGAUGCAACCGGGGCAGAAAUCGCACUCCCUUGAGGAAGGGGGAGGACGUCAAACGCCAAAAGAAAAUUUUCCGGGAAAGCAAGACUAUUUAAAAAGAAAAUGCAAGGCGGUGGACCCGGAUAAAGCCCAGGAAACUGCGCCGAAUCACGGACGAGCUGGACCAAGUACCACCACGGACCUGGAGGAUGUUGUAGUCAUCCAUGGCAGAGAGGAUGAUUCCGGAGUUUAAAAAAACCCCAUUGAAACCAUCAUAUCAAAAAGAUUGGACACAUCUGAAGGUAGCCACGUCUCCUUUAAUAAGUCUGCUACAUGAAAUAAUCAGCAUAGUGUACCACAUUUGUCUGAUUCAGAUGAUGCAAUUUCCCCCUCAUGUUCAUCUCAGUCAAUUACAAGUAUUCAUGAUGACAUAAGUAUGCAUGUACCCCAGUCAGUAAAACAAAAGUUAAUGAAUGGGGAAUUUGUUGAAUUUCAUACCCUUUUGAAUAAGCAAAAUGAUUUAGAAGCUCAAGAAAAUAAGGUCUUAUUCAUGAAUGGGUAAUUUACAUUGAAACCUACAAAAGUGAUCAAAAUUACAACAAUUGAUGCUUGGGUGGGUGCUUUUUUCAUUUUCAUGAGUAUUUAUUUGUCAGCACAUAUUGAUGAAACUCACAAUCUAAUCAAAUAUAUAGCAAAUGUUAAACUCGGCGCCAGUCGUGUUUCCGGCGGAUUGGGUUGGAGAGAUUAUGACCGCCAGUUUCGUGGAAAAAAACCGGUUACCUUAUCACCUAUUGGGGUGGUUGCAAAAAAAGAUGGUGUUUGGCGUUUAAAUCCAUCAUUUUUCACAUCCUGCUGAUUUCAUUGUAAACGAUUUUAUAGAUCCGGGAGCAUGUUCUGUACAUUAUACUUCUUUUGAUGAGGUUUUAAAAAUGGUUGGGUCACUAGGUAAGGGUGCUGUAUUUGGAAAAAUGGAUGUAAAGUCAGCAUUUAGAUUGCUACCAGUUCACCCUUCAGAUAACCAAUUACUUGGUUUUAAAUUCAAUAAUUUUCACUACUAUGAUCUGUGCUUACCAAUGGGAUGUUCAAUUAGUUGGGGAAAAAUUUGCACAUUUUGUUCGGUGAAGUGAAAACUGGAGUUCACACUCUGAAUCAUUACCUAGACGAUUUUAUAUUUGCAGGAGACACCUCUGAAAUAUGUAAAUUGUUGAUGUCUUCAUUUAGAAAAACAUGUUUUGAAUUUGGUAUUCCCUUAGCGGAAGAUAAAACAGAGGGUCCUAAAACUGUUAUUACGUUCUUAAGUAUUGAAAUAGAAACAGAUACUAGUAAUAUGAUUAUUAGAAUUCCUAAUGACAAAAUACUGACUUUACUGUUUCAGCAAUCUUAGAAAUGUUACAAAAAGAAAAAAGUUACUCUUGGAAAGUUACAAUCACUAGUAGGUUCUCUUAACUUUUGUGCAAAAGCAAUUCCAUCAGCUAGAGCAUUCAAUAGAAGAUUUUGUGAUGCUAUGUGCGGAAUUAAGCACUCCAGUCAUUUAUUAUAGUAACGUCUGGGAUGAGAUCAGAUCUUUGUGUGUGGCUAGAUUUUAUACACAAGUACAACGGUAGCUUAAAUUUCAUGAAUGCCAAUUGGUUAUCAAAUGACCAACUACAUCUUUAUACUGAUAGCGCAGGCAAUCAUCAGUUGGGUUGUGGUGUCUACUUCAAUGGUCAGUGGGCUUAUUUUGAAUGGCCCGCCUGCUGGAAAGACCUCAGAUAUAACUUUUUUAGAAUUAGUGCAAUUGUUCUUGCAGUUUUUUUUUUUGUUUUUUUUUAUAUAUAUAUUUUGAAAUUUAUAUACAUGCAUACACAAAUAUACAUGUAUAUGGAAAAGGAAAAAAAAUAGUAAUACAAUCACAAUUGGUCUGCUAGUGUUUUCAAAAUUUUGUAACUGGAUUUGACACUUUUUGCACUCACUGUAAUAAAGUAAUAAGAGAUGUUUUUAGAACAUUUAAAAGCGCAUUCUCAUUUGGAAUUUCGUUUUGUAGUGUACACUUCAUUUUAUAUUUAUAUAUCUUAUACCCUACAAAAGAUAUGACAGUAUUGAGAAUUUUCGUUGCGUCUGAAAACUUAUAGAAAAAACCUACAGCAAUUGUUUUCCAUGUUAUAUUCAACUUUAAUAUCCUGAUACUUUUUCCCAUAUUCUUUUUGUUUCAGAACAUCCAUACAUUAAAUGUCUAUAUUUUCAAUUUGUUCACAACUUACAUAAUUUUUUCGAACAUCUUUAUUCCAUUUAUUUACGUUAUAAUUGCAGUUCAGCUGAUUGUGUAGAAGUUUAUAGUUAAGUUCUGCUAUUUGCUUAUCAAAUGCGUUUAUUAUCUUAGCCGUGUAUAUAUUUUUCCACUGAUCAUUGGGUAUAUUGAAUUCUUUUGACCAUUUUGCUUCCAUUAUUGGUUUUUGUGUCUUUUUUUAUAAUAAAAUUUUAUAAUAGAAUCCCGAUUUCUCAUGUUCCGGUUGUUUUAUUUUUCCGCAGAAAUGAAAGUAUGGAUUUUGAAUGUUAGUAUUGUUUACAUUUGAAUAAUCUACAUUCAACUUUCUAAUAGCGUUUUUUAUGAUAAGAUAUUCACAUAUAUAGUUUCUUUUUGAUUUAAGAUUUUCUGUAAUAUCAUUUAAAUCUUUUAUACCAUCUAUUGUAAACAUAUCUUUAACAUAUAGGAUACCACUUUUUAUCCA